rnacentral:lncRNA from 1 species
ACAUACCAGAAUUAAAACGCGAAAGACCAAGGUCCAAGCCAGAGCCAGGGCAUCCCCGAGUAGGGUGUGCCUAGCCAGUGCCCACAGCCCUGGGCUCCUUGCCUGCUUCGCGCGCACACAGACUUUGUGUACCAAAGAAUGGCAUCAAAAGUACAAGGGCGACCCAAAGAGAAUCUGGAAGUGUUUACCGGUCACUGUGUGGUAGGGGGUUGCUAUCAGGAAGAGAGAACCCCUGAGACUCAGCCAAGAAGCAGCCUGAUUCACAAAGCAGGCGCAGGCCUGGAGAGACACCUCUCCAAAGGGGCACAGUGGCCGGCUAGAGAGGGGACACUCAGCAGCUGUAGCCGCAGGUGCCCCCCCUCACUGGGAUGACUGCGCCAGGCUGCAGGGGAGAAUCGGGGACCUCAGAGGCCUGGCGCACAGUUGGUAAGAAUGUUAAAUGAGCCCAGCACAGGGACACACCUGUCAUCCCAGAGGCUCCCGGGGCCGAGGCAGGAGGUUGGAGAAUGAGAGAUGAAAAGGACUGAGGGCAGCUCGGAGGCAGAGCCCAGGGUCAGUCCCCAGUUCAAAAAAGGUGAGAAGAAAGGAAAGCAGGGCCACUGCUGUAGGGGACAGUCUGGCCGCUCCCCACGUGACCCAGCAGCUCCGAUUGAAGAUAUAUACCCCCAAAACUGAAAUCAGGGUCCUGGGGGGGUGCUUGUACUCCAUGCACACAGCAAUGCUGUCUACCACAGCCGGCACAGAAGCAGCCCAAGUGUCCAUCCACCAAUGAAUGGACAGGCCAUCCACAUCAUGGAAUACUCUUCAGCUCUACAAAGGAAGUUCAUCAUGGUGGCACACCUGUAGUCCCAG